UGGGGAAUAUUGGACAAUGGGCGCAAGCCUGAUCCAGCCAUGCCGCGUGAGUGAUGAAGGCCUUAGGGUUGUAAAGCUCUUUUAGCGGGGAAGAUAAUGACGGUACCCGCAGAAAAAGCCCAGGCUAACUUCGUGCCAGCAGCCGCGGUAAUACGAAGGGGGCUAGCGUUGCUCGGAAUUACUGGGCGUAAAGCGCACGUAGGCGGACUCUUAAGUCGGUGGUGAAAUCCUGGAGCUCAACUCCAGAACUGCCUUCGAUACUGGGAGUCUUGAGUUCGGGAGAGGUGAGUGGAACUGCGAGUGUAGAGGUGAAAUUCGUAGAUAUUCGCAAGAACACCAGUGGCGAAGGCGGCUCACUGGCCCGAUACUGACGCUGAGGUGCGAAAGCGUGGGGAGCAAACA
rnacentral:rRNA from 1 species